rnacentral:rRNA from 1 species
CCUACGGGUGGCAGCAGUGAGGAAUAUUGGGCAAUGGAGGCAACUCUGACCCAGCCAUGCCGCGUGAGUGAAGAAGGUUUUCGGAUUGUAAAGCUCUUUCAGAUGUGACGAUAAUGACGGUAGCAUCUAAAGAAGCCGCGGCUAACUUCGUGCCAGCAGCCACGGUAAUACGAAGGGGGCAAGAGUUGUUCGGAUUUACUGGGCGUAAAGGGUGUGUAGGCGGUGUAGUAAGGUUGUGGUGAAAUCCCAGAGCUUAACUUUGGAAUUGCCAUUAUAACUAUUAGACUAGAAUGACAGAGAGGUUAGCGGAAUACCCAGUGUAGAGGUGAAAUGCGUAGAUAUUGGGUAGAACACCAGUGGCGAAGGCGACUAUCUGGCUGUACAUUGACGCUGAGGCUCGAAAGCAUGGGGAUCAAACAGGAUUAGAUACCCUUGUAGUC